rnacentral:lncRNA from 1 species
AUAUGAUGAACAGGUUCCGAAAACCAAAGCCUAUUGCUAUCAGUCAAGUACCACAUUUCAAGGGUACCCGAAAAAGAGAAGGAUUUCAAAGAAAAGGAUCACGAAUGAAGUUAUAGAUGUGAUAUUGUACUUAUUGAAUGAAUAAUGUGUUAUGUGAUUGAUAUAUUGCUAUUAAAUCAGUUUCAACUUGUUGAGCCAUUAGCUCAUUAUGUUCUUAUGAUGCAGGUAAUGAUGUACAUGUUUAGAAGUUGACCUAGCCAAGAGCGGCCAGACAGAGAUUUGUUCAUAUGCCAUGCUUCGAGCCAUUUUUGUAGCCGAGCUAGAAACUCUGAUUUAAUUUUGUUAGCCGC